CCUACGGGUGGCAGCAGUGGGGAAUAUUGCGCAAUGGGCGAAAGCCUGACGCAGCGACGCCGCGUGAGGGAUGAAGGUCUUCGGAUCGUAAACCUCCGUCAGCAGGGAAGAACGGUCACUGUGCUAAUCAGCAGUGAAUUGACGGUACCUGCAAAGGAAGCACCGGCUAAAUCCGUGCCCGCCGCCGCGGUAAUAGGGAGGGGGCGUGCGUUAAUUGGAAUUACUGGGCGUAAAGCGCUCGUAGGCGGUAUGUCAAGUCAAGGGGGAAAUCCCCGAGCUCAACGUGGGAACUGCCUGUGAAACUGGCAAACUGGAGUGUGUGAGAGGAUAGUGGAAUUCCAGGUGGAGGAGUGAAAUCCGUAGAUAUCUGGAAGAACAUCAGUGGCGAAGGCGACUAUCUGGCACAUAACUGACGCUGAGGAGCGAAAGCGUGGGUAGCAAACAGGAUUAGAUACCCUUGUAGUC
rnacentral:rRNA from 1 species